GGAACCAGAGACAACUGUCAUCACACAAGCUUGAGCCAUGUGCUGCAGACACAAUGCUGUAUUUCUUCUCCCAGUAACUUGAUGGGCCAGCAAUAUAGACCCUAUAGUUUCUUCACUGAAUUGACAGCAGAUGAGCUAUGGAAAGGUGCUUUAGCAGAAACUGGUGCUGCAGCAAGAAAAGGAAGAGGCAAAAGAACUAAGAAAAAGAGAAGAAAGGAUUUGAACAGGGGUCAGAUCAUUGGUGAAGUCCUUUAGGGUGUUUGAUUUUCUGUGGCCUGGUCUGAAUGUCCCUCUUAUGAGAAAUGGAGUACUGCAGACCAUUGCCCAAAGAAGCAA